GGGGGCCGGAGGGGGCGGGCCGAGCUACUUCCCGGAGCGGCGGAACCGCUGAGGUCACUCUCGCCCCCCCUUCCCGGCCGGGCCCCGCGCGCAGCCAGCAGGGGCGCUGGGCUGGGACCCUCUUCCAAACAUUCAAGCAGGAUCUCGAUCCUGGAGUCCAGAACGGGGACUUCCACCCUCUCCACAGACCCCAGCCCAGCGUCUAUGGGGGACCCAGCGCAGAGAGGCACGGAAAACGGGCACCUCCUAGCAGACAUCGUGGCAUGGCGGGGACAAACGCCAUAACAGAGGGAGUCGGAAGCCCUCCAGAGCCCAGGGUAGACAGGAACGUGUUCAAAGAGGAGGAGACUCCGGACAGGGGCUGGCAUGGGAAUGGGGGUAGGGAGGAGUGGGGGAAUGUGUUCAGGGCAAAGAAGCAUUGAGAAGAUGUGAGGGGGACGCCUGCUUCUGGGACAGGGAAGUCGCCAGAGAAGUAGAGUGUGUUUGUCGGGGCUAGGGUCUCUCCCCGGCAGGUGAAGCCUUUUCCCAGGGGCGCAACCUGGGCUGCCCUUGACUGAGCAGGUUUCAAGGUACUCUAGACCACCCGAUCAUCACAACAGUACCAUUGACUAGAUGCUCUUACUUUUUAUACCUUUUUGAUGAGAGAGGCUAGGUAAGACACCCAGGGCCAUAUAUUAGGCAGUAAGUCACUGAACCAGGAUUUGAAUUCAGCCAGUUUCAUUCUGCUCUGCCUUGGAGUCUGGGAAAUGGAGGAUGUAGUGGAGGAGUCGCCCUGGCCAAGGCCCUGCAGUGGGGUGGGGGUGGUGCUGGAAGAGGGGCUGGAUCACAAAGGACAGGACCCAGCCAGGUAUAUGUGUGCAGGAGGAGUGGAGCCCACAGUGGGAUCUGAAGUCUGGGAAGGAAGGCCUCGUUGUUAUACUAAAAUAUCAUUCCUUGUUUCACCGGA